AUCUAGAUGAUGAGUCCCAAAUAGGACGAAAUAAGCAUCAUGGAU
rfam:Trichobilharzia regenti genome assembly, scaffold: TRE_scaffold0000984